AUGAACGCUAGCUACAGGCUUAACACAUGCAAGUCGAGGGGCAGCAUGGUCUUAGCUUGCUAAGGCCGAUGGCGACCGGCGCACGGGUGAGUAACACGUAUCCAACCUGCCGUCUACUCUUGGACAGCCUUCUGAAAGGAAGAUUAAUACAAGAUGGCAUCAUGAGUCCGCAUGUUCACAUGAUUAAAGGUAUUCCGGUAGACGAUGGGGAUGCGUUCCAUUAGAUAGUAGGCGGGGUAACGGCCCACCUAGUCUUCGAUGGAUAGGGGUUCUGAGAGGAAGGUCCCCCACAUUGGAACUGAGACACGGUCCAAACUCCUACGGGAGGCAGCAGUGAGGAAUAUUGGUCAAUGGGCGAGAGCCUGAACCAGCCAAGUAGCGUGAAGGAUGACUGCCCUAUGGGUUGUAAACUUCUUUUAUAAAGGAAUAAAGUCGGGUAUGCAUACCCGUUUGCAUGUACUUUAUGAAUAAGGAUCGGCUAACUCCGUGCCAGCAGCCGCGGUAAUACGGAGGAUCCGAGCGUUAUCCGGAUUUAUUGGGUUUAAAGGGAGCGUAGAUGGAUGUUUAAGUCAGUUGUGAAAGUUUGCGGCUCAACCGUAAAAUUGCAGUUGAUACUGGAUAUCUUGAGUGCAGUUGAGGCAGGCGGAAUUCGUGGUGUAGCGGUGAAAUGCUUAGAUAUCACGAAGAACUCCGAUUGCGAAGGCAGCCUGCUAAGCUGCAACUGACAUUGAGGCUCGAAAGUGUGAGUAUCAAACAGGAUUAGAUACCCUGGUAGUCCACACGGUAAACGAUGAAUACUCGCUGUUUGCGAUAUACAGCAAGCGGCCAAGCGAAAGCGUUAAGUAUUCCACCUGGGGAGUACGCCGGCAACGGUGAAACUCAAAGGAAUUGACGGGGGCCCGCACAAGCGGAGGAACAUGUGGUUUAAUUCGAUGAUACGCGAGGAACCUUACCCGGGCUUAAAUUGCAGAUGAAUUACGGUGAAAGCCGUAAGCCGCAAGGCAUCUGUGAAGGUGCUGCAUGGUUGUCGUCAGCUCGUGCCGUGAGGUGUCGGCUUAAGUGCCAUAACGAGCGCAACCCUUGUUGUCAGUUACUAACAGGUCAUGCUGAGGACUCUGACAAGACUGCCAUCGUAAGAUGUGAGGAAGGUGGGGAUGACGUCAAAUCAGCACGGCCCUUACGUCCGGGGCUACACACGUGUUACAAUGGGGGGUACAGAGGGCCGCUACCACGCGAGUGGAUGCCAAUCCCAAAAACCUCUCUCAGUUCGGACUGGAGUCUGCAACCCGACUCCACGAAGCUGGAUUCGCUAGUAAUCGCGCAUCAGCCACGGCGCGGUGAAUACGUUCCCGGGCCUUGUACACACCGCCCGUCAAGCCAUGGGAGCCGGGGGUACCUGAAGUGCGUAACCGCGAGGAGCGCCCUAGGGUAAAACUGGUGACUGGGGCU
rnacentral:rRNA from 1 species